GUACACAGCCUAAAAUACAAAGACAUUCAAGCAGUGCGAUGCAUGAGGAGUCUGCCAUGCAGACCAGCGAUCCUGAUCCUGUUGUUGGCCUUGGAUGAUGAGGUCCAGUUACCAGGAUCACUACUCUGCAGCUCACUGAUCCCAUCCUGCAGCUCAUCCAUGCCGUCCUCCUCUCAACAGACCAAAUCAAGAAAAACUAAGCAGGAUGCUACUGUGGAUCUGCUCUUCAGAUUAGCUCUGCUGUGAUUAACAAUCUGCCUUCAUCGCAGUCACAGCCAACGGGGAAG